GAGUGGACAGAAGUAUUGGAACACUGGUGGUGGCCAAGAACAAAUCCUUCUUCCUCUGCAUUUAGAACAAGACAGCAAAUAUGGUUUCAUUUCUUUUCAUGACAGAAGAACAGAUUUCUCAUCACAAAAUUUUCCUUUUUCUCUUGGAACUAGUAAAUAGCAAACUUGCUCUGGACUUAAAACGGCUCAAAAAGAGACAGCUGUCAUUUUCAGUUAGUGAAACGAACACCAUUUCUUAAAGAGAGGACAGAACAUACCAUUUUCCAGUGCUAAAUAAGAAGGAAAUGGAAGAGCCUAGCAAAAUAUCCAUCACAAUAAGAAUAUAAAUGAUGCUUGUUGACUGACUGAUGGUAUCAUGUGGAGGGAAGAAGGAAGAAGGGAAGACAUUAUCAUAAAGCCAAGCCAUUUAGGGGCACCUUUGACAUUUUUCUGGGACUUCUUACAGAAUAGAUAUUGGAGUAGUUUGCCAUUUCCUUCUCC